UACGUAGGGGGCGAGCGUUGUCCGAAGUUACUGGGCGUAAAGCGCGCGUAGGCGGGUCUCUAAGUCUGGUGUGAAAGGUUCAGGGCUCAACCCGAAGAGUGCACUGGAUACUGGAGACCUUGAGUUGGGCAGAGGAGAGUGGAAUUCCCAGUGUAGCGGUGAAAUGCGUAGAUAUUGGGAGGAACACCAGUGGCGAAGGCGGCUCACUGGACUGGUACUGACGCUGAGGCGCGAAAGCGUGGGGAGCAAACAGG
rnacentral:rRNA from 1 species